GGGCAACGUUUCAUUAGUACACGAACCGUCAAUCCGAAAACAAGUGCCAUUCUUCUACUCCUUUGAAACGCGCGGCGCGAUUUCCUCCGUAUCCUUUCUCGGUUGUUGAAGCUCUUCUGGGUUUAAACCCCCCUCUCUCCCCGUUUUCGGUUUUUGAUUUUAAACUGUGCAGUUAAAGUUAGUGCGUUUCACGAACCUACUUGGGCACUAGUUAUUAGUCCUUGUGCGUGCGAGUGUUGUGCGAAUCAAGUGUGGAACUUGCUUUUGCACCAGUUUGAGUUUUGUGUUUCAGUGCACAGGUUUUUGAGAGAGGAAUAUCACUGCGAACUGUGAAUAUCGAACCGAAUUAUUUGUUAGUGAAAAUCGACCUCAUUGAAGGAUUUAUUUAUUUGAAGUGCAUUACACGUUGUUAUAGACGAUUCUGUAGUUGUAGCUGAAAAAGUUUUCUUGAUAAUCAGUGUUUCUCAUCAGUAAAUUUACUGGUUCUUCAGGUUAUCAACCAACGACGAUUAUUGGAAUUUGCAGAAUUAUAACUUUCUGAAAGUUUUGGACGAGUUAAAUUUGAUAUCCCGUUUACAACUGGACGUUCCUUGGUUUCCGUUUCUCUUGAGUUCAAAUUAUCCGUUCCGGAAUGGUCACCCUCAAAACCACCCACAAGAGCAGCCGCUCGACGUCAUCGAUUAGCUCGGUGAGCCGCAAGGGCAAAAGCACCAGCGUCGUCCGGAAGAAGUACAAGGAAUCCUACCACGUGAUGGGUGGCUUCGAGCAGCGACCCUGGACCCCCACAAAGCGGCGAGGACCCAUCGCGGCGGAACACCGUGGUCCGGGACCGCAGUAUCUGCUGCCACAGCUGCUAGGUACGCGAGUAGUCGAUUCCAAGCGGGCGGCCGCACCCGCAUACAGUUUCGGUCAACGCCACAGACCCCGGACAGAGUCCUUCAGCCCCGGUCCCCUGUACAACAUCACCGGACUCGGAUGCAAGGGCAAAGACACACCGCCGGCUUACUGUUUGCAGAGUCGACCCAAAGAAAUCCCCAAGUACCUCACACCGGCUCCCGGCGAAUACAACGUGGAGAAGUCGGACAAAAUGCUCGUCAAAUCAGCCCCACGGUACACCUUUGGCGUCAAGAAGCCACCAAAGUCCACUAGCGAAACUCCAGCGCCCUGUGAUUACAAACCCGAAAAAGUAGUAUUAGAUAGCACCCCAAAGUUUUCAUUUGGAAUCAGGCCGGAAGUAAAAAUUCGUAGCGAAACUCCAGCUCCCGGUACAUACUCUCCAGAAAAAGUAUUACAUGACAAAUCACCAAAGUACAGCUUUGGCCUUAAAGUUAUUCCCGAAAGGCACGAAGAAACCCCUGCACCCGGAGCGUACCAACCGGAAAAGGCCAGUCUUGCAUUAGAUAGGAAACCUGCUUUUACAUUUGGCAUGAAAACAAUCAUUGAAAAACCUAACAAUACCCCAGCUCCUGGAGCCUACGAACCGGAGAAGGCCAAACUCGAUAACACCCCUGCCUACAGUUUUGGCAUCCGGCCUAACCUGGACAAACCAAACACUAAUCCCGCACCGUGUCAGUACGAGCCCGAGAAGGCCAAGAAACUCGAUCACUCACCUGCAUACCCAUUCGGCAUGCGUAUCAAUCACGAUAAGCCUAGCAAUACGCCUGCCCCCACGGCUUACGCAGUAGAGAAAGUAAACCUAGAUCAUCACCCCGCUUACAGUUUCGGACAGCGAACGAAAACCGACAAACCGAACACCAAUCCAGCCCCGGGAGCGUACGCGCCGGAAAAGGCCAACCUGGACGGGGCACCGAAGUACAGCUUCGGCAUUCGACCGACAAUCGACAAGGUGGACUCUGUCCCAGCUCCUGGGGCGUAUUCUCCCGAAAAGGCCAAACUAGAUAGCACUCCAGCGUAUAGUUUCGGAGCGCGAACCAAUCUCGAGAAACCAAGUGCCAUUCCCGGACCGGGAGCGUACGAUGCCGAUAAGGUGUUGGACAAGAACUCGCCGGCUUACAGCUUCGGAGCGAGAACCAACGUGGACAAGAAAAGCGACAUUCCUGGUCCGGGAGCAUACGAUACAGAUAAGGUAGUAGAUAAAACGCCAGCUUACAGUUUCGGAUUAAGAACAAAUGUUGAAAAACCAAGCGUUGUCCCAGGGCCUGGAGCCUAUGAUGCGGAUAAAGUAGUGGACAAAAGUACGCCGGCGUACAGUUUCGGUCUUAGGACAAAUGUUGGAAAGCACGACAAUAUUCCCGGCCCCGGUGCUUAUGAUUCCGAUAAAGUAGAUAAAAUAACUCCAGCUUAUAGCUUUGGAGUUAAGACCAACCUUGAUAAGCCCAAUAAUGUUCCUGGGCCAGGAGCUUACGAUUCUGACAAAGUGGAUAAGGGAACACCAGCGUAUAGUUUCGGAGUCAAAACGAAUAAUCAAAAGCCAAACAACGUUCCUGGUCCGGGUGCGUAUGACUCGGAUAAGGUCGUCGAUAAAGGCACUGCAUAUAGCUUCGGAAUCAGGUCUAAUGUAUCAAAGCCUAACACGGUUCCAGGACCGGGGGCAUACGAUGCGGGCAAGGUCAUUGACAAAGGCACUCCGGCGUACAGUUUCGGAGUCAAGCCGAAUCUCGACAAACCAAAUACCCUUCCAGGGCCAGGCGCGUAUGAUGCGGAUAAACUAUUAGACAAAAGUACCCCAGCUUACAGUUUCGGUGUUAAGACCAAUGUGGAGAAGCCUAAUAUUGUACCCGGUCCAGGUGCUUACGAUGCAGACAAGGUCAUAGAUAAGUCAACCCCGGCUUACAGUUUCGGUCUUAAGACAAACGUGGAAAAGAAAGAUACCAUUCCAGGCCCAGGCACCUACAACAACGAAAAAGUUGUAGAUAAGGUAACCCCGGCCUAUAGUUUCGGUGUGAAAACUAACACAACCAAGGUCAACAACACACCAGCCCCAGGAUCUUACUCACCGGAAAAAUGUAAACUCGAUAACACCCCUCAGUACAGCUUCGGCGUAAAAACCAAUGUGGAAAAGAAGGACACAAUCCCAGGUCCGGGAGCGUACAAACCCGAAUCAGUCAAUCCAGACACAACCCCGGCCUACACCUUCGGAGUUCGUCCCAACAUCGAUAAGGUCGAUGCCACUCCCGCUCCCGGCAGCUAUUCCCCCGAGAAGCAUAAGAUCCAUAAUCCGGCGUUCACGUUUGGAGUUAGGCCCAACAUUGACAAAAUCCAGCCAACUCCGGCACCCGGAGCGUACAACACGGAAACGGUAAAACUGGACAGCACCCCGGCGUACACGUUCGGAGUGAGGCCCAAUUUGGACAAAAUCCAGAUGACCCCAGCUCCCGGGGCCUACGAGGUCGAAAAGGUUAAACUCGAUCAUGCACCCGCCUAUCACUUCGGUAUCAAGGUGAACCGCGAGAAAGUGAACGAUGUGCCAGCUCCUGGAGCGUACAACCCCGACAAGCUGAAACUGGAGCAUGCUCCUGCGUACUCCUUCGGAAUUAAGCACAAAGGUGAAAAGCUGAAAGAUACUCCAGCCCCCUCGGCCUACCAACCGGAAAAGUGCAACCUGGACAUUGCCCCAGCAUUCACGUUCGGCGUGAAGGUAAAUUCCGAAAAGUUCACUGAUAGCCCAGUGGGUUUAGUGGCCACGAUGAGCAAUGGCAUGAACGGCGGCACCACCACCACCACUUCUACCUUAAUCACCUCUGCUGCUGCUGCCACACAAGCCACAAAAACCGCUGCAAAUGCAGUCCUUGAAAACGGUAACACAACCGUUGCACUGCAGCAAACAAGCAGCAAGAACAGUAGUGUACAGCAACAACAACAGCAUCAGAGCACCCACCAAUCGGAGCGGGUUUUGAGCAAUGGGGGCGCCAUCACGACCACCACCACAACCAGCGGCAGCAUGAAGAUGACCCGCGAAAGGAAAACCGUUUGCGAAGAGCACGUGACGUCGACGACCGGCACCACCACCGGAAACGGAAGCACCAGCGUGGUGACCAGCGAGACCCUGGUCCCGAACUGCAUCGCCGGUGUCAAAUCGCUGCAGAACGUGCAACACCAGCGAAUGGUUUGCACCGGACAUUUCCGAGCUUGAGAGCAUGUGAUAGGUUUUUGAUUGUGGUGUUGUUAGAAAGUUGUGCAUGUGUUGAUUUGUUUUGUAAGAAAGUGUGUUUCUUUUAUCAAUUUGUUAAAUGUUUGAUAGCUUCCUAGAUGUAGCUUGUCUGAAAUGGCUUAUUAUUUGAUCUGUUAUUUCUGUUUGCACUGUUUUCCAAGUAGAGUUACAAGUAGUUGUUAGAAAGUAAAUUUAUUGCUGUUGAUUUCGUCGCUAAGCCGUCUCCAUAAUUGAAGCCCCGAAUGAGUAUCACAUCCCAGACGUGCUCGGUUCAAGCAAAGAAGGCCCGAUCCGAUCGGCACCCGCCUACACAAUCACGGGCCGCCAGAAACCGCGACUUCCACAGUGUAUCACUUUCCCUGGGCCCGGUCAUUACGAUGCCAAAAUCGAUCCACUGGUAAAGAAGGCCCCCAUGUUCUCGAUGGCCACCCGCUUCCGGAUGCCAACGGACGAAGCGAUGAAACCGGGCCCGGCAGCACACCAUCCGGAGAAGGUGAACCUAGGACACGUGCCGUCGUACAGCUUUGGGAUCAAGCAUUCGGAGUAUCUUGGACAGUUUCCGGAACCGUCACGCUACCGUAAUCAACUAAUCUUUUGAGUAUUCUAUCAGUUUUUAUUUGGAAAAUGUUUCUGCUUCGUAUCGUUUCAAUUUUGUUUCACCCCUUCAUCAAGGUGCUACGCGAUAUAAUUUUAUUUUAUUUAACAAUGCAGAACAUGGGUAUACAAAAUACAUCUAGGGAAGAGUGCAAACAGUACGGUAUCAUUUUCUGGCAAAAUGAUGCUUAAAGAAUCGGUGAGAUUUGAGCUUUACGUUUAAUAAUGGUUUCGUUUUGAUUUCAACGAAUAAAAUUACUUACAAUCCAUA